rnacentral:snoRNA from 1 species
AGACCUUUGCCAACACUCUGGCCUUUAUCCCUCCAUCCGGAGCUAUCCCAGGAUAUGGGCCUAUUUUGGUGCAAAGAAGAUCAAUCUUCUGACACGUUACUCACCGCGGCAUCCAGCCUCUCUUUUGAGGCAGUGGGUGCAGUGGUCCAUCAAACCUGUGUCUACAA